rnacentral:tRNA from 1 species
UUUGUAGCUCAGUUGGUAGAGCAGCGGACUAAAAAUCCGCGUGUCGUUGGUUCGAUUCCGACCGA